rnacentral:rRNA from 1 species
CCUACGGGUGGCUGCAGUGAGGAAUAUUGGUCAAUGGACGCAAGUCUGAACCAGCCAUGCCGCGUGCAGGAUGACGGCUCUAUGAGUUGUAAACUGCUUUUGUACGAGGGUAAACCCCGAUACGUGUAUCGGGUUGAAAGUAUCGUACGAAUAAGGAUCGGCUAACUCCGUGCCAGCAGCCGCGGUAAUACGGAGGAUCCGAGCGUUAUCCGGAUUUAUUGGGUUUAAAGGGUGCGUAGGCGGGCUGUUAAGUCAGCGGUCAAAUGUCGGGGCUCAACCCCGGCCUGCCGUUGAAACUGGCGGCCUCGAGUGGGCGAGAAGUAUGCGGAAUGCGUGGUGUAGCGGUGAAAUGCAUAGAUAUCACGCAGAACUCCGAUUGCGAAGGCAGCAUACCGGCGCCCUACUGACGCUGAGGCACGAAAGCGUGGGUAUCGAACAGGAUUAGAUACCCUUGUAGUC